UACAGAGGUCCCAAGCGUUGUUCGGAUUCAUUGGGCGUAAAGGGUGCGUAGGCGGCGCGGUAAGUCGGGUGUGAAAUCUCGGGGCUUAACUCCGAAACUGCAUUCGAUACUGCCGUGCUUGAGGACUGGAGAGGAGACUGGAAUUUACGGUGUAGCGGUGAAAUGCGUAGAUAUCGUAAGGAAGACCAGUGGCGAAGGCGGGUCCCUGGACAGUUCCUGACGCUGAGGCACGAAGGCCAGGGGAGCAAACGGG
rnacentral:rRNA from 1 species